UACGGAGGGUGCGAGCGUUGUCCGGAAUCAUUGGGCGUAAAGGGCGCGUAGGUGGCCCGGUCAGCGUGCGGUGAAAGCUCGGGGCUCAACCCCGAGUCGGCCGUGCGAACUGCUGGGCUGGAGCACUGUAGAGGCAGGCGGAAUUCCGGGUGUAGCGGUGGAAUGCGUAGAGAUCCGGAAGAACACCGGUGGCGAAGGCGGCCUGCUGGGCAGUGGCUGACACUGAGGCGCGAAAGCGUGGGUAGCAAACAGG
rnacentral:rRNA from 1 species